AUACGGUGAAUACGUUCCCGGACCUUGUACACACCGCCCGUCAAGCCAUGGAAGGCUGGGUGUACCUAAAGUCGGUAACCGUAAGGAGCCGCCUAGGGUAAACUAGUAACUGGGGCU
rnacentral:rRNA from 1 species